AGAGUUUGAUCAUGGCUCAGGAUGAACGCUGGCGGCGUGCCUAAUACAUGCAAGUCGAGCGGUAAGGCCUCUUCGGAGGUACACGAGCGGCGGACGGCUGAGUAACACGUAGGAACGUACCCCAAACUGAGGGAUAACUGCUCGAAAGAGUAGCUAAUACCGCAUGUGCUCUAAGGAGUAAAGCUUCGGCGGUUUGGGAACGGCCUGCGCAUGAUUAGCUUGUUGGUGAGAUAAAAGCUCACCAAGGCGACGAUCAUUAGCUGGUCUGAGAGGAUGAUCAGCCAGACUGGGACUGAGACACGGCCCAGACUCCUACGGGAGGCAGCAGUAGGGAAUUUUCCACAAUGGGCGAAAGCCUGAUGGAGCAACGCCGCGUGCAGGAUGAAUGCCUUCGGGUUGUAAACUGCUUUUAUAUGUGACGAUUAUGACGGUAGCAUAUGAAUAAGGAUCGGCUAACUCCGUGCCAGCAGCCGCGGUAAUUC
rnacentral:rRNA from 1 species